rnacentral:rRNA from 1 species
CUGGAGCUUGCUCCGGCGGAUUAGUGGCGAACGGGUGAGUAACACGUGAGCAAUCUGCCCUUGACUCUGGGAUAACCGCGGGAAACUGUAGCUAAUACCGGAUACUUUCCUCGGUGGGCAUCCACUGAGGAAGAAAGAAUUUCGGUCAAGGAUGAGCUCGCGACCUAUCAGCUAGUUGGUGAGGUAAAGGCUCACCAAGGCGACGACGGGUAGCCGGCCUGAGAGGGUGACCGGCCACACUGGGACUGAGACACGGCCCAGACUCCUACGGGAGGCAGCAGUGGGGAAUAUUGCACAAUGGACGAAAGUCUGAUGCAGCAACGCCGCGUGAGGGACGAAGGCCUUCGGGUUGUAAACCUCUUUUAGCAGGGAAGAAGCGAAAGUGACGGUACCUGCAGAAAAAGCGCCGGCUAACUACGUGCCAGCAGCCGCGGUAAUACGUAGGGUGCAAGCGUUGUCCGGAAUUAUUGGGCGUAAAGAGCUCGUAGGCGGUUUGUCGCGUCUGCUGUGAAAUUUCGAGGCUCAACCUCGAACUUGCAGUGGGUACGGGCAGGCUAGAGUGCAGUA